rnacentral:lncRNA from 1 species
UAUUAACCUACGAUAAAUGAGGGGAAGAAAGAAAUAAAAGGAUGGUCUUCAAAUGAUGUUACCAUUGCUUAGUUACCUUUGUGGUGCUUUCAAUGGAUGUUUUUCAUCUUACUUAUCCCUGGAGAGGUUAGAUUCUCUAUGGAGAUAUGUCAACCUAAAUACCAUCCCUAUUGUUCUUGUUGUCUGAAAAUCAAUUUCUCUUCCUACACAAAAGCACAAUAAAAAAUUAGGAGUGGCGAGAAAAUGAGUUGUUCCUUUAUGCUAAAAGGGGGUAAGCUGAUGUAAAAUAAGGGCAGCUGCUGAUUUCUUUGAACAAUGGUCAAAAGGAGUACCAGGAAUAAUGGCAGCUGCCAAAAGGAGGUAAACUGAUGUAAAAUAACUCAGCUCCGGAAGGACUAAUCCGGAGCUGAGUUCUGUCUUGUGGGUAUGUUUCAACUCCGACCUGCAAAAUGGUCAAAAGGAGUAGCAAGCACCAGAUUAGAAACCUAAAAUUUAUAACUAAACAAAAUCCUAAUUUAUGACAAAAUUGAAGAUGACACCGCAAGUACUAAAAUGGAACAGAGAUCAUUAUAAAGAAAUAAAUUAUGGUGGGUAACAGAGAUCAUUCAGCACACCAAUGUCUCGUCAAAGAUUAGCUAUGAAUUCUUCUAGCUUAAUGCUCAAUGUAUA